rnacentral:rRNA from 1 species
UAAUACGUAGGUGGCGAACGUUAUCCGGAAUUACUGGGCGUAAAGGGUCUGUAGGCGGUCUUAAAGGUCCGGCGUGACAAUUCUCGGCUUAACUGAGAGAGUGCGUUGGAAACCGGAAGACUAGAAUCACGUCGAGGUCGGUGGAAUUCCCGGUGUAGUGGUGGAAUGCGUAGAGAUCGGGAGGAACCCCUAAAGCGAAGGCAGCCGGCUAGACGAUGAUUGACGCUGAGGGACGAUAGCGUGGGGAGCGAACAGGAUUAGAUACCCUGGUAGUCCACGCCGUAAACGAUGUGUGCUCGGUGUGUGUGGGUAAAACCAUGCGCGCCUAAGUUAACACGGUAAGCACACCGCCUGGGAAGUACGGCCGCAAGGCUA